AUACCCCGUAUAUAUUCGGAUGCUGGUUUGCGGCUAUAGAUAAGUAGUGGAAGGAUCAUUCGUUUUUGAUCGUUCGAUCGUGGCUAGUUGAAAUUAUCUGGGUCUGCCAACCGCAAAUAUGAAAUUUAUAUAUUUCAAUAAUAUAGGAUUACAAAUUGACUACGGUCAAAUAUAUGUGUAGUGCAGCAGAACUGGUAAAGCUUCUCGCAGCGAGGAUCAUUCGUUUUAUGAACGUUCGAUCGAAGCGAGUUGAAAUUAUUUGAAUCUGCGGACCGCAAAUAUGAAAUGUAUAUAUUUUAAUAAUAUAGGAUUUUACAAAUGGACUAAAGUCAAAUAGGUGGGUGGUGCAGCAGAACUGACAAAUCAAAAGCUUCUCGCAGCGAGGAUCAUUCCUUUUAUAAACGUUGGAUCGGAGCGAGUUGCAAACUGAAUGUUGUGAUUACUCGACAAGCUAUCGCUGUAAUGAAGUGCGCUCCUAUAGCAUAAUAUACUGUGGGCAAAAGCCUCUGACAAUGAUUAUUCGUUUCAUUAGCGUUUGACCGGAGCUAGUCGCAAAAUAUUGCGCAGUGGGCAAAAGCAGCGUGACGCGGUUUACAACCGCUUAGCGCGCUUAUGCAUUGUGUGAGAGCACUGCCAUGUAUAUCUGCUCGGUAUCGUCAGAUGCCUGAGCGAAUGACGAAGUUUGUUGUAAAAACGGCGUUUUUUUUUAAUAUUAUACUUUAAACGCAUAGCUCAAUCAAUUCUUUGGGCGCUAGAUGAACGUCUAGUGUUUCAAAAUCGACUGUAGUAAACGCUUGCGUUACUAUUCUAUAUACUCUGCACAUUUUACUCAAAUUGUCGAAACUGGGUAUCGAGGCGAAAGACUAAUCGAACCAUCUAGUAGCUGGUUCCCUCCGAAGUUUUCCUCAGGAUAGCUGGCAUUCAAUGAGCGAGUCUCAUCCGGUAAAGCGAAUGAUUAGAGGCCUUGGGGCUAAAACGACCUCAACCUAUUCUCAAACUUUAAAUGGGUGAGAUCUCUGACUUGCUUGAAUAGAGAAGCCAAAGAUUUGGAUCAGAGUGCCUAGUGGGCCACUUUUGGUAAGCAGAACUGGCGCUGUGGGAUAAACCAAACGCCGAGUUAAGGCGCCUAAACGACGCUAAUGGGAUACCAUGAAAGGCAGCAGGACGGUGGCCAUGGAAGUUGGAAUCCGCUAAGGAGUGUGUAACAACUCACCUGCCAAAGCAACUAGCCCUGAAAAUAGAUGGCGCUGAUGCGUCGUGCCUAUACCCGACCGCCAGGGCAUGAGAAACGUUCAUAAUAGUUCGUUUUGACGCCCUGGUGAGUAGGAGGGUCGCGGUGGUGUGCGCAGAAGGGUUUGGAAGUAAGCCUACCUGGAGCAGCUAUCAGUGCAGAUCUUGAUGGUAGUAGCGAAUACUCCAGCGAGGCCCUGGAGGACUGACGUGGAGAAGGGUUUCGUGUGAACAGCCGUUGCACACGACUCAGUCGAAACUAAGCCCCAGGAGAAAUCCUAUAUUGAUGUUGGUGUAUUUUAUUUUGAAUGAAACUUCACACCCAUCGGGCAAAAAGAAAUCCGGUUCCUAUUCCGGAACCCGGCAGCGGAACCGUUUACAAGUCGGGCUCUUGCAAGAGAGUUCGUCGAGGUAACCCAAAAUGACCUGGAGACGCCGUCGGGAAAUAUGGGGAGAGUUUUCUUUUCUGUAUGAGAUAAGAUUUGGAACGCGAAGAGCACCGCUGUUGCGGCGGUAUCCGUAUCUUCCCCUCGGACCUUGAAAAUCCAGAAGAGGGCCACGGUAGGUGUCGCGCCGGUUCGUACCUAUAUCCGCAGCAGGUCUCCAAGGUGAAGAGCCUCUAGUCGAUAGAUAAAUGUAGGUAAGGGAAGUCGGCAAAUUGGAUCCGUAACUUCGGGAUAAGGAUUGGCUCUGAGGAUCGGGGCGUUCCGGGCUUGGUUGGGAAGCGGGCGUAGGCCGAUGUGCCGGGACUGGGCGAGGUAAAAUUGUCCUUGAAAUUAAGAUCUGAGCUCGGUCCCGUGCCUAGGCCCUUCGCGGAUCUUUCUUGCUGCGAGGUUUCUAUGCCGGCUUCGGUCGGUCAGUCGUACUCUUCGGCCGUCAUUCAACGGUCAGCUCAGAACUGGCACGGACUAGGGGAAUCCGACUGUCUAAUUAAAACAUAGCAUUGCGAUGGCCCUAGCGGGUGUUGACGCAAUGUGAUUUGUGCCCAGUGCUCUGAAUGUUAACGUGAAGAAAUUCAAGCAAGCGCUGGUAAACGGCGUGAGUAACUAUGACUCUCUUAAGUGGAGAUUUAUCACACUUAUGGAAACCGGUGACUAUACAGGAAAUUAAUAACUCUUACCCAGCAAAAUGUACAGCCGCCGGACCAGACGGUGUUUCCGCCAGUCUUUUAAGGUCCGUACCAGUUUGCACCAUGGCAAAUCUGUUAAACCUAAUCUUGGUCGUGUCCUAAGGCCAGCUGAGCGACGAUAGAAACCUCGCGUAGAGCAAAAGGGCAAAUGCUGGCUUGAUUCCGUUGUUCAGUGUGCACAGGGACUGCAAAAGCAUGGCCUAUCGAUCCUUUUGGCUUGAAGAGUUUUCAGCAAGAAAAGUUAUCACAGGGAUAACUGGCUUGUGGCAGCCAAGCGCUCAUAGCGACGUUGCUUUUUGAUCUUUCGAUGUCGGCCCUUCCUAUCAUUGCUAAGCAAAAUUCGCCAAGCGUUGGAUUGUUCACC
rnacentral:rRNA from 1 species